AACUUUCGACAACGGAUCUCUUGGUUCUGGCAUCGAUGAAGAACGCAACGAAAUGCGAUAAGUAAUGUGAAUUGCAGAAUUCAGUGAAUCAUCGAAUCUUUGAACGCACAUUGCGCCCCUUGGUAUUCCGAGGGGCAUGCCUGUUCGAGCGUCAUUAUAACCAAUCCUGCCUUGUGUAGGGUCUUGGGGUGCGCCAUUGUGGUGGUCCCUAAAAUCAGUGGCGGCGCCAUCUGGCUCUAAGCGUAGUAAUCUUUCUCGCUAUGGGGUCUCGGUGGUCGCUAGCCAGCAACCCUCAAAUAUCUAUGGUUGACCUCGGAUCAGGUAGGGAUACCCGCUGAACUUAAGCAUAUCAAUAAGCGGAGGCU
rnacentral:misc_RNA from 1 species